UCCGUCCCGUGGCGUGGGAGGUGAUCGCC
rnacentral:piRNA from 1 species